UUCCGGUUGAUCCCGCCGGAGGCGACCGCUUUUGGAGUUCGAUUAAGCCAUGCGAGUAGAAAGAAAUUAGAUUCUUUGCGAACUGCUCAGUAACACGUGGAUAACCUGCCCUAUGCUCUGGAAUAACCUCGGGAAACUGAGAAUAAUACCGGAUAGAUCACAACGCCUGGAACGGUGUGUGGUUGAAAGAUUACGGCAUAGGAUGGGUCUGCGGCGUAUCAGGUUGUAGGGGGUGUAACGGACCUCCUAGCCAUCGACGCGUACGGGUGUUGGGAGACAUAGCCCGGAGAUGGAUUCUGAGACACGAAUCCAGACCCUACGGGGUGCAGCAGGCGCGAAAACUUCACACGGCAGGAAACUGUGAUGAGGGAACUCCAAGUGCGUGCACUUAGUGUGCGCUUUUGUUGACUAUUAAUCGGUCAAUGAAUAAGGGCUGGGAAAGACCGGUGCCAGCCGCCGCGGUAAUACCGGCAGCUCAAGUGGUCGUCGCUUUUAUUGGGCCUAAAACGUCCGUAGCCUGUUUGGUAAAUCUGUGGGUAAAUCAACCAGCUUAACUGGUUGAAUUCUGCAGAGACUGCCAGACUAGGGACCGGGAGAGGUGUGGGGUACUCUAGGGGUAGGGGUAAAAUCCUGUCAUCCUUAGAGGACCACCAGUUGCGAAGGCGCCACACUGGAACGGAUUCGACGGUCAGGGACGAAGCCUAGGGGCACGAACCGGAUUAGAUACCCGGGUAGUCCUAGGUGUAAACGCUGUGAACUUGGUGUCGGGGAUCCGUCAUGGGUCCCCGGUGCCGGAGUGAAGAUGUUAAGUUCACUGCCUGGGGAGUACGGUCGCAAGGCUGAAACUUAAAGGAAUUGGCGGGGGAGCACUGCAACGGGAGGAGCGUGCGGUUUAAUUGGAUUCAACGCCGGG
rnacentral:rRNA from 1 species